rnacentral:rRNA from 1 species
AGUGAACGCUGGCGGUAGGCCUAACACAUGCAAGUCGAACGGCAGCACAGUAAGAGCUUGCUCUUACGGGUGGCGAGUGGCGGACGGGUGAGGAAUACAUCGGAAUCUACUUUUUCGUGGGGAUAACGUAGGGAAACUUACGCUCAUACCGCAUACGACCUACGGGUGAAAGCAUUGGAUCUUCGGACCUUGCGCGAUUGAAUGAUCCGAUGUCGGAUUAGCUAGUUGGCGGGGUAAAGGCCCACCAAGGCGACGAUCCGUAGCUGGUCUGAGAGGAUGAUCAGCCACACUGGAACUGAGACACGGUCCAGACUCCUACGGGAGGCAGCAGUGGGGAAUAUUGGACAAUGGGCGCAAGCCUGAUCCAGCCAUACCGCGUGGGUGAAGAAGGCCUUCGGGUUGUAAAGCCCUUUUGUUGGGAAAGAAAAGCAGCAGGUUAAUACCCCGCUGUUCUGACGGUACCCAAAGAAUAAGCACCGGCUAACUUCGUG